rnacentral:lncRNA from 10 species
UGGUGCCCCAGUCAAACAGUAAUUCAGAAGUGGGACUUUUUCCAGUUUGAAGUAAUGCUUCAAAUCUCCUUAAAAGAUCUAGUUGAGACACUGAGAAGAAUAAGACAGUUUGAAAAGAACCUCUACCACAGCAACAUGAAUUCUGCUAAAACUAAAGCAAGAACAAACACCACAUUUAUGGUGGAGGUUGGUUGGAAGAAUGGUGAAAUCACUGAUGCUUUAUUUAUGGGGACAAUGCCCCCAGAAAAUCAGCAGUGUACAAAUCAGUAACUCAUUUUAAGGGAUGAGAUGAUGUUGAAGAUGAAGCCUGCUGCGGCAGACCAUCCACAUCGAUUUUCGAGGAAAACAUUCAUCUCGUUUGUGCCCUAAAUGAAGAGUACCUAUAAUUAACAGCAGAACCAACAGUGAACACCAUAGACAACUAGUUCAGCCUAUACAAUUCUGACUGAAAAUUAAAGUUGAGCAAACUUUCCACUUGAUGGCUGCCCAAACUGUUGUACCCAGAUCAGCUGCAGAUGCGAGCAGAGCUUUCAAUGGAAACUUUAAACAAGUGGGAUGAAGAUCCUAAACCAUUUCCUCAAAAAAUUGUAACAGGAGAUGAAACAUGACUUUACGAGUAUGAUCCUAAAGCACAAUCAAAGCAAUGGCUCCCCCAAAGUGGCAGUGGUCCAAUUAAAGCAAAAGCAGACAGUCAAAAGCAAGGGCAUGGCUGCAGGUUUUUGGGAUGCUCAAGGUAUUUUGCUUGCUGACUUUCUGGAGGGAAAAAGAAUGGUAACAUCUGCUUAUUAGAGAGGGUUUUGAGAAACAGUAGCUUUUCUAAGUGUUUCUAAACUAAAGCUUUUCUGUUACAGCUUUAGUCAAAUGUUUAGCAGAAAAACACCUGGGAAAGCUUCACCACAGAGUCCUUCUCCAUCACAAUGCCCCUGCUCUUUUCUCUCAUCAAACAAGGGCAAUUCUGUGAGUUUCAACUGGAAAUCAUUAGGCAUCCACCUUACAGUCCUGAUUUGUCUCCUUCUGACUUCUUUUUGUUUCCCAAUCUUGAAAAAUCUUCAUAGAGCACCCAUUUUUCUUCAGUUAAUAAUGUAAAAAAGACUUCAUUGAUGUGGUUAAAUUCCCAGGACUCUCAGUUCUUUAGGGAUGGCCCAAAUGGCUGGUGUUAUCGCUUACAAAAGUGUCUUGAACUUCAUGGGCUUAUGUUCAGAAAUAAAGUUUACAGUUUUGUUUUUGUUUUUGGAGUCUUGCUCUAUCAUCCAGGCUGUAGUGCAGUGGUGCAAUUUUGGCUUACUGCAACCUCUGCCUCCCAGGUUUAAGCGAUUCUCCUGCCUCAGCCUCCCAAGUAGCUGGGAUUACAGGUGUGCACCACCACACCCAGCUAAUUCUUGUAUUUUUGGUAGAGAUGGGGUUUCGCCAUGUUGACCAGGCUGGUCUUGAACUCCUGACCUCAGGUGAUCUGCCCACCUCGGCCUCCCAAAGUGCUGGGAUUACAGGUAUGAGCCAUAGUGCUGAGCCAAAGUUUACAUUUUUUAUCUUUUAAUUCAAUUUUUCCACAAACUUUUUGAAAUGCCCUCAUACAAAUUAAGAGCAUAUACACAUAUACAGUUGAAGCAACAAUAAAAUGAGGUUGCCUAUUAGGAAUGCUUAGAAUGGAAAGGAAUGAUGUGAAAGAAGAAUUUUAAAAAAUACUGCUUAGUCAUGAAGGCAAGAAAAAAACCAGGAUGGUAGCAUACCAGAGACUUCUAGAAAAGGUGGCAGGUUGGUAUAAAAGACUCAGAGAGGUCAAAUAGACACUGAUGGAUAUGUUAGACUCUGAAAUCAGAAGGCCAUUGGUGACUUGGGAACAGCUAUAGUGAAAAAGUGAGUGAAUGGCAAAAACAGAUUUUCCAAGAAGUCUGGUUAUGAAGGGAAGGAGAAAGAGAGAGAGAGGAGUAUGAGGGGAGGGAAAAUGGGGGUGGAGGGGUAGGGAAAGAGAGGGAGGAGAGCAUGCAAGAGAGUAGCAGUUUUCAAAUUUGGUCUCAGGACCUUUUACCCUCUUAAAAACUAUUGUAGACCCCAAAGGGCUUUUGUUUAUGUUGGUUAUAUCUACCAAUAUUUACCAUAAUAAAUUGAUGCUGAGAAAC